GGGCUCGUAGCGCAGUUGGUAGCGCACUUGAAUGGCAUUCAAGGGGGCAUGGGUUCGAUCCCCAUCGAGUCCA
rnacentral:tRNA from 1 species